rnacentral:rRNA from 1 species
AGUGGCGCACGGGUGAGUAACACGUGACUAACCUACCCUUGAGUGGGGGAUAACUUCGGGAAACCGAGGCUAAUACCGCAUAAUACCUACGGGUCAAAGGAGCAAUUCGCUUAAGGAGGGGGUCGCGGCAGAUUAGUUAGUUGGCGGGGUAAUGGCCUACCAAGACAAUGAUCUGUAUCCGGCCUGAGAGGGCGCACGGACACACUGGAACUGAAACACGGUCCAGACUCCUACGGGAGGCAGCAGUGGGGAAUUUUGCGCAAUGGGGGAAACCCUGACGCAGCAACGCCGCGUGGAGGAUGAAGUCCUUAGGGACGUAAACUCCUUUCGAUCGGGACGAUUAUGACGGUACCGAAAGAAAAAACCCCGGCUAACUUCUUGCCCCCAGCCGCGGUAAUACAAGGGGGGCGAGCGUUGUUCGGAAAUAUUGUGCGUAAAGGGGGGCGUAGGCGGGUUGGUAAGUCUGAUGUGGAAAUCUAUGGGGUCAACUCAUAAUCUGCAUCGGA